rnacentral:rRNA from 1 species
GUGUCAGCCGCCGCGGUAAUACGAAGGGUGCAAGCGUUACUCGGAAUUACUGGGCGUAAAGCGUGCGUAGGUGGUUUGUUAAGUCUGAUGUGAAAGCCCUGGGCUCAACCUGGGAACUGCAUUGGAUACUGGCAAGCUAGAGUGCGGUAGAGGGUGGUGGAAUUCCCGGUGUAGCAGUGAAAUGCGUAGAGAUCGGGAGGAACAUCUGUGGCGAAGGCGACCGCCUGGACCAGCACUGACACUGAGGCACGAAAGCGUGGGGAGCAAACAGGAUUAGAUACCCUGGUAGUCCACGCCCUAAACGAUGCGAACUGGAUGUUGGGUUCAACUAGGAACUCAGUAUCGAAGCUAACGCGUUAAGUUCGCCGCCUGGGGAGUACGGUCGCAAGACUGAAACUCAAAGGAAUUGACGGGG